rnacentral:tRNA from 2 species
GGAGGGGUGGCAGAGCGGUUGAAUGCACCGGUCUUGAAAACCGGCGGGCGCAAGCCCUCGUGGGUUCGAAUCCCACCCCCUCCG